GGCGAACCGAGCGAACGUUGUUCGGAAUCACUGGGCUUAAAGGGCGCGUAGGCGGGCUGCCAAGUUUGGGGUGAAAUCCUCCGGCUCAACCGGGGAAGUGCCUUGAAUACUGGCGGUCUGGGGGGAGGUAGGGGCGUGCGGAACUGUAGGUGGAGCGGUGAAAUGCGUUGAUAUCUACAGGAACUCCGGUGGCGAAGGCGGCACGCUGGACCUUUUCUGACGCUGAGGCGCGAAAGCCAGGGGAGCGAACGGG
rnacentral:rRNA from 1 species